GCUUUCGGGGUGUAGUGGUCAGCACGCUCGGCGCGUAUUCGAGAGGUCCUUGGUUCGAGUCCCGGCGAGGGCA
rnacentral:tRNA from 1 species